rnacentral:rRNA from 1 species
GAUGAACGCUGGCGGCGUGCCUAAUACAUGCAAGUCGAGCGAACAGACGCGGGGUUUGUGCCUCUGACGUUAGCGGCGGACGGGUGAGUAACACGUGGAUAACCCACCUAUAAGACUGGGAUAACUUCGGGAAACCGGCGCUAAUACCGGACAAUAUCUUGAACCGCAUGGUUCAAUAGUGAAAGACGGUUUUGCUGUCACUUCUCGAUGGCUCCGAGCCGCUUUAGCUAGUUGGUACGGUAACGGCUUACCAAGGCGACGAUGCGUAGCCGACCUGCAAGAGGGAUCGGCCACACUGGAGCGGAGACACGGACCAGACUCCUACGAGAGGCAGCAGUAGGGUAUCUGCCGCAAUGGUGGAAAGCCUGACGGAGCAACGGCACGUGUGAGAUGAAGGUCUUCGGAGCGUGAUACUCUGUUAUGAGGGAAGAACAAAUGUGUAAGUAACAAUACACGACUUGACGGUACCUAAUCAGAAAGCCACGGCUAACUACGUG